rnacentral:rRNA from 1 species
UACGUAGGGUCCGAGCGUUGUCCGGAAUUACUGGGCGUAAAGAGCUCGUAGGUGGUUUGUCGCGUUGUCCGUGAAAACUCACAGCUCAACUGUGGGCGUGCGGGCGAUACGGGCAGACUGGAGUACUGCAGGGGAGACUGGAAUUCCUGGUGUAGCGGUGGAAUGCGCAGAUAUCAGGAGGAACACCGGUGGCGAAGGCGGUUCUCUGGGUCUUACCUGACGCUGAGGAACGAAAGCUAGGGGAGCGAACGGG